rnacentral:rRNA from 1 species
AGAGUUUGAUCAUGGCUCAGAUUGAACGCUGGCGGCAGGCCUAACACAUGCAAGUCGAGCGGUAGCACAGAGAGCUUGCUCUCGGGUGACGAGCGGCGGACGGGUGAGUAAUGUCUGGGAAACUGCCUGAUGGAGGGGGAUAACUACUGGAAACGGUGGCUAAUACCGCAUAAUGUCGCAAGACCAAAGUGGGGGACCUUCGGGCCUCAUGCCAUCAGAUGUGCCCAGAUGGGAUUAGCUAGUAGGUGGGGUAACGGCUCACCUAGGCGACGAUCCCUAGCUGGUCUGAGAGGAUGACCAGCCACACUGGAACUGAGACACGGUCCAGACUCCUACGGGAGGCAGCAGUGGGGAAUAUUGCACAAUGGGCGCAAGCCUGAUGCAGCCAUGCCGCGUGUGUGAAGAAGGCCUUCGGGUUGUAAAGCACUUUCAGCGGGGAGGAAGGCGAUAAGGUUAAUAACCUUGUCGAUUGACGUUACCCGCAGAAGAAGCACCGGCUAACUCCGUGCCAGCAGCCGCGGUAAUACGGAGGGUGCAAGCGUUAAUCGGAAUUACUGGGCGUAAAGCGCACGCAGGCGGUCUGUCAAGUCGGAUGUGAAAUCCCCGGGCUCAACCUGGGAACUGCAUUCGAAACUGGCAGGCUAGAGUCUUGUAGAGGGGGGUAGAAUUCCAGGUGUAGCGGUGAAAUGCGUAGAGAUCUGGAGGAAUACCGGUGGCGAAGGCGGCCCCCUGGACAAAGACUGACGCUCAGGUGCGAAAGCGUGGGGAGCAAACAGGAUUAGAUACCCUGGUAGUCCACGCCGUAAACGAUGUCGAUUUGGAGGUUGUGCCCUUGAGGCGUGGCUUCCGGAGCUAACGCGUUAAAUCGACCGCCUGGGGAGUACGGCCGCAAGGUUAAAACUCAAAUGAAUUGACGGGGGCCCGCACAAGCGGUGGAGCAUGUGGUUUAAUUCGAUGCAACGCGAAGAACCUUACCUGGUCUUGACAUCCACAGAACUUUCCAGAGAUGGAUUGGUGCCUUCGGGAACUGUGAGACAGGUGCUGCAUGGCUGUCGUCAGCUCGUGUUGUGAAAUGUUGGGUUAAGUCCCGCAACGAGCGCAACCCUUAUCCUUUGUUGCCAGCGGUUAGGCCGGGAACUCAAAGGAGACUGCCAGUGAUAAACUGGAGGAAGGUGGGGAUGACGUCAAGUCAUCAUGGCCCUUACGACCAGGGCUACACACGUGCUACAAUGGCAUAUACAAAGAGAAGCGACCUCGCGAGAGCAAGCGGACCUCAUAAAGUAUGUCGUAGUCCGGAUUGGAGUCUGCAACUCGACUCCAUGAAGUCGGAAUCGCUAGUAAUCGUAGAUCAGAAUGCUACGGUGAAUACGUUCCCGGGCCUUGUACACACCGCCCGUCACACCAUGGGAGUGGGUUGCAAAAGAAGUAGGUAGCUUAACCUUCGGGAGGGCGCUUACCACUUUGUGAUUCAUGACUGGGGUGAAGUCGUAACAAGGUAACCGUAGGGGAACCUGCGGUUGGAUCACCU